GCUUGACAGUACAUGUAUGGCUUCUCUUUCUUUCCCACCCCCACUAGAAUGUCAGCUCCCUGAAAGAAGAUGCUUUAGUUGGUGUCCUACCACAUUCCCAGAUCUGAGAACAGGACUUGGAACAAACAAGAUCCUACAAAUACUAAUUAAGCACUGUCGGUGCCAAACAUUGAUCUGACCAUUCCCAUUCUGUGGACAUGUCUCCCUCUUUUACAUCUUGAAGUCAACAAAGGUAGAAAAUUCUGAAACAAAUGGAAACACAUUGCCUGCCAUUGAAGACAGUUAGAGGGCCACAAUUUGAGCGCUGAAGUUUGAAAGUGGUCACUCUUAGCUAAUUUUAAAAGACAGCGGGACCACUGAGACAAGGACUCCGACUGCAUGAGUGGUGGUGAGGAAGUGGCCCUCAGAGCAGAGAUGGACCAAGAUAGGACUUGUGGGCAAGAAGGCAAAGAUGAUGUAAUAUUUCCUGGCUUGGGCAUCGGAGUUGCCAAAAUUGUCGUUCACCACAGCAGGAGCACAAAACAACUUUCAAUCCUCUUGCUUCAGCCUCCAAGAGUGCUGGGAUUACAGAGCAAAGGAUCACCAUAUCCCCGAGCAGUGUGUUGUGUACAACGGUUUAACAUCCGCCUCCUUCAGUAGAUUGUGAGCUCUUCACAGCUGUCACCCGAGUGAAACCAAACUAACAAGUCGGGCUGUGCUGAUGAUUGAAUAGUGUGACUCACUUCCAGCAAUAUGACAGGCUUGGUUGUCAAAGAAAAUGACUCCUAGUGACAGACCACCUAAAAUGCUAAUAAAACAGUUUUUUCAGUCUCUUCACUGAUGUCACUGAACUGAGUG
ensembl:lincRNA